CCUACGGGAGGCAGCAGUGAGGAAUAUUGGUCAAUGGACGCGAGUCUGAACCAGCCAUGCAGCGUGCAGGAAGACUGCUCUAUGAGUUGUAAACUGCUUUUGUACAGGAAUAAACGCAGAUACAUGUAUCUGUCUGAAAGUAUCGUACGAAUAAGGAUCGGCUAACUCCGUGCCAGCAGCCGCGGUAAUACGGAGGAUUCAAGCGUUAUCCGGAUUUAUUGGGUUUAAAGGGUGCGUAGGCGGUCGGAUAAGUUAGAGGUGAAAUUUUGAGGCUCAACUGCGGAAUUGCCACUGAUACUGGUCGGCUAGAGAGUAGUUGCGGUAGGCGGAAUGCAUGGUGUAGCGGUGAAAUGCUUAGAUAUCACACAGAACACCGAUUGCGAAGGCAGCCUACUAAGCUACCUCUGACGUUGAGGCACGAAAGCGUGGGUAUCAAACAGGAUUAGAUACCCGGGUAGUC
rnacentral:rRNA from 1 species